CCAAUUGCGAAGGCAGCUUUCUGGAUCAUUACUGACACUGAGGAACGAAAGCAUGGGUAGCGAAGAGGAUUAGAUACCCUCGUAGUCCAUGCCGUAAACGAUGUGUGUUAGACGUUGGAAAUUUAUUUUCAGUGUCGCAGGGAAACCGAUAAACACACCGCCUGGGGAGUACGACCGCAAGGUUAAAACUCAAAUGAAUUGACGGGGACCCGCACAAGUAGUGGAGCAUGUGGUUUAAUUCGAGGAUACGCGCAGAACCUUACCAACACUUGACAUGUUCGUCGCGACUCUAAGAGAUUAGAGUUUUCGGUUCGGCCGGACGAAACACAGGUGCUGCAUGGCUGUCGUCAGCUCGUGUCGUGAGAUGUUGGGUUAAGUCCCGCAACGAGCGCAACCCUCACUUUUAGUUGCCAUCAUUAAGUUGGGCACUCUGAAAGAACUGCCAGUGAUAAGCUGGAGGAAGGUGGGGAUGACGUCAAGUCCUCAUGGCCCUUACGUGUUGGGCUACACACGUGCUACAAUGGCAUCUACAACAGGAAGCAAAACGGCAACGUUAAGCAAAUCCCGAAAAGAUGCCUCAGUUCGGAUUGCACUCUGCAACUCGAGUGCAUGAAGCUGGAAUUACUAGUAAUCGUGGAUCAGCGUGCCACGGUGAAUGCGUUCCCGGGUCUUGUACACACCGCCCGUCACACCAUGGGAGUUGGUUCUACCUUAAGGCAAGGUUUUAAACCCUUGACCACGGUAUAGUCAGCGACUGGGGUGAAGUCGUAACAAGGUAACCGUA
rnacentral:rRNA from 1 species